rnacentral:rRNA from 1 species
UUAGGUGCCUAUAUCGGUGGUGUCCACCUCUUCCCAUUCCGAACAGAGAAGUUAAGCCCACCAGAGCCGAUGGUACUGCGGUAACACGUGGGAGAGUAGGUCGGUGCCAAAUCUUAAAGAAGCCCUGUAACUAAACGUUGCAGGGCUUUCUUGUUUAUAAA